UUUAAACCACAACAAAUAAUUUAAUACAAUGUGAAAAUCAACAAGUCACAUUUUUAAUGAAAUUACGAAAAGUAAUAUACAUAAAGUGCUUAAUUAAAAGUAAUUACAUACACAACUAAUAAUGACGACGGAUAAAUACAUCAUUAAAAAAGCCAUCCGAGGUCAUAUGACAUGCAUACCGUUACAGUACCUUGAAUUUAUUGUUUGUCAUUAUAUUCCUUGUGAACAACAACUAAGAACCGAGGCUGGAUUUUGUAAUUAAAAAGGCUUUUUACAUGCCGGAUACAAAUGAACUCAUGGCUUUCCUGACCUACUGUAAAGUGGAUUACGGAUCGGGCUACGCAGUGCUCAUGGGAAAAAUAUAAUUACUCAAUUAACAACAAUGACGACUUACUUCGCCACUGCACAAACGAGAUCGGAAAAGUUACCAUUCCAUUGAAAAUUGCCCUGUAAAAAUCUAAUCUAGUUGAACAAAUAGAUAAAUUUGUUAUCUAUUCUGAAUCUACACCCUUCCGCACUUAAUUAAGGUAGUUGAAACAACAACGAACACAAUGCCAAUUCAUGCAUGCUGCAUGCAUGACACUGAAAAUGUUUGCUAGUAAAUUAUGCAGAUUUCUUUUAUAUUAUUCGAUUGAGUCUACGACACAAAAGUUGGACGGUCGGAGCCUCAUUGCGCAUCGUGAUGGAAUGAAAGGGUCCCAUACGCCAAUAGCUUCACGUCUUCAACAACAUUCUAAUUUUGACAUGAUCAGGUCUCACAAAAUGAUUUUUCAUUAUUGCUUAACUUGACCUAGAGCAGCAGGGUAAUUAAAAUUCAUAAUCGCAAUGAUGAAGCAAUAAUACACAGUUUGCAAUGUCAACUGUUGUCAUUUCAUUAAUUGGUGUUUGACAAUGUAUAAUAUUUGACAAUAUGUUAUGUAAAACAUGAUCAAAGGGAUCAAAAACUAUUUAGUAUUUAUUUAUCACGCAGAUCACACCUCUCUUAUUUAUAUAGUUGUUAUUAUUGAAUGCAAAAUGCAACAUCACACAUGGAAAGUUUAUGAUAUGUACAUAGAAUAUGAUUUGACAAAGGAACAGAAGAUGUGCACAUAGUGCAACAACAUCGGUCCAUUUCACACAAUUUGUACAAGUAUACCAACGUGGCUAAAUAUUAGA